AGCGAACGCUGGCGGCAGGCCUAACACAUGCAAGUCGAACGAACCUUUCGGGGUUAGUGGCGGACGGGUGAGUAACACGUGGGAACGUGCCUUUAGGUUCGGAAUAACUCAGGGAAACUUGUGCUAAUACCGAAUGUGCCCUUCGGGGGAAAGAUUAAUCGCCUUUAGAGCGGCCCGUGUCUGAUUAGCUAGUUGGUUGAGGUAAUGGCUCACCCAGGCGACGAUCAGUAGCUGGUCUGAGAGGAUGAUCAGCCACAUUGGGACUGAGACACGGCCCAAACUCCUACGGGAGGCAGCAGUGGGGAAUCUUGCGCAAUGGGCGAAAGCCUGACGCAGCCAUGCCGCGUGAAUGAUGAAGGUCUUAGGAUUGUAAAAUUCUUUCACCGGGGACGAUAAUGACGGUACCCGGAGAAGAAGCCCCGGCUAACUUCGUG
rnacentral:rRNA from 1 species